rnacentral:tRNA from 1 species
GGGCGCAUAGCUCAGCUGGUUAGAGCGCUACCCUCACAUGGUAGAGGUCAGAGGUUCAAAUCCUCUUGCGCCCACCA